UGUCAGGGUCAGUUCAUUAGCUGAAGCUUGUCGCAUAUAAUCCAGAAGGAUAACAUGAUGGCAUCUUCUCCUUUUCAACGAUAUUAACCAUAUGCCUUGUUGCUAUUGGUAAACUCACACUUGAAGUUUAGAUUUGGCUUAUCUCUUCUCAACUUGCGUUUCCCCCAUGUCUUCAACAGUCAAUAUUACUGUGAAAUAGACAGAGAGAGAGGGAGAACUGGCUAUUUUCUUGUUUACAUGUCUCUUGGAGUUUCCAAAAGCUAAAAUAGACUAUAGGAUAUCUUCUAUUUUUUAAAAAAAAAAAAUUGGUAUUUUCUCUCUCUUUUCCCAUUGUGGUAAUAGGGAAAAGCCAUUAUAUAUAUAUAUAUAUGUCGGUGGCUUUAAUUUGAAAAGUUAGGGAGAGGGGGGACGCAAGGAAAGAAGGAGAGAGCAAAUAAAAAUGGUGAUACAAAGAUUAGAGAUGUGCAUAGCCCUGGCGAAACUGGCUAUGGAGUUUAUCAUGGCUGUGGUUGAAGCAAUUGGAAUAGUUAUUCAACAGAAUGGUACAGCUGCGCCGCUAGCAAACCAUCUUUAUAUUGCUCCGGUUCCUUUUGUUGGUUUUCUUCCAUGAAAGUUGAUCGCUCUGUCAAGUUUCUUCACAAGAAAGCGUCUACUCUUUCAGAGGCUAGAACACGAGACCUGCAGGAGACUCUAUCUCUCCAGUUGAGUUACAUGCUCGACGAUUUUGAUGGUUCAGUUUCUUGAUUAUCUCUGGAAGUAAUUAAUCUACUAUUCCCAUUAAUUAACUUGCAA